rnacentral:rRNA from 1 species
AGUGAACGCUGGCGGCAGGCCUAACACAUGCAAGUCGAGCGGCAGCAGGGUGCGUGCUUGUGGUUACAGGGGGGGAGGGGCGGGUGAUGCCUAAGAACAUCCCAAGCUGUGGGGUAUAACGUCCGGACGCAGGGGCACUUACGGCAUACGUGCAGACGACGUACGUGUGGGAUCUUCGGAUCUUCGGCUAUUAGAUGAGUCGAGGUCGGAUUAGCUAGUUGGUGGGGUAAAGGCCUACCAAGGCGACGAUCCGUAGCUGGUCUGAGAGGAUGAUCAGCCACACUGGAACUGAGACACGGUCCAGACUCCUACGGGAGGCAGCAGUGGGGAAUAUUGGACAAUGGGCGAAAGCCUGAUCCAGCCAUACCGCGUGGGUGAAGAAGGUCUUCGGGUUGUAAAGCACUUUUGGUGGGAAAGAAAAGCAGUAGGUUAAUACCCCGCUGUUCUGACGGUACCAAAAGAAUAAGCACCGGCUAACUUCGUG